rnacentral:rRNA from 1 species
AUACGGAGGGAGCAAGCGUUGUUCGGAAUCACUGGGCGUAAAGCGCGCGUAGGCGGCCGAGUAAGUCGUGUGUGAAAGACCGGGGCUCAACUCCGUGUAUUGCAUGCGAUACUGCUCGGCUAGAGAAAGGUAGAGGCAAGUGGAAUUCCCGGUGUAGCGGUGGAAUGCGUAGAUAUCGGGAAGAACACCUGUGGCGAAGGCGGCUUGCUGGGCCUUUUCUGACGCUGAAGUGCGAAAGCGUGGGGAGCAAACAGGAUUAGAUACCCCGGUAGUCC